AUUGAACGCUGGCGGCAGGCCUAACACAUGCAAGUCGAGCGGAUGAGUGGAGCUUGCUCCAUGAUUCAGCGGCGGACGGGUGAGUAAUGCCUAGGAAUCUGCCUGGUAGUGGGGGACAACGUUUCGAAAGGAACGCUAAUACCGCAUACGUCCUACGGGAGAAAGUGGGGGAUCUUCGGGCCUCUUGCCAUCGGAUGUGCCCAGAUGGGAUUAGCUAGUAGGUGGGGUAACGGCUCACCUAGGCGACGAUCCCUAGCCUGGUCUGAGAGGAUGACCAGCCACACUGGAACUGACGACACGGUCCAG
rnacentral:rRNA from 1 species